rnacentral:rRNA from 1 species
UACCAGCACCCCGAGUGGUCGGGACGAUUAUUGGGCCUAAAGCAUCCGUAGCCGGUUCUACAAGUCUUCCGUUAAAUCCACCUGCUCAACAGUUGGGCUGCGGAGGAUACUAUAGAGCUAGGAGGCGGGAGAGGCAAGCGGUACUUAGUAGGUAGGGGUAAAAUCCGUUGAUCCAUUGAAGACCACCAGUGGCGAAGGCGGCUUGCCAGAAUGCGCUCGACGGUGAGGGAUGAAAGCUGGGGGAGCAAAACCGG